UACAGGGGGGGCAAGCGUUGUUCGGAAUUACUGGGCGUAAAGGGCUCGUAGGCGGCCAACUAAGUCACACGUGAAAUCCCCAGGCUCAACCUGGGAACUGCGUGUGAUACUGGAUGGCUUGAAUUCGGGAGAGGGAUGCAGAAUUCCAGGUGUAGCGGUGAAAUGCGUAGAUAUCAGGAGGAAUACCGAUGGCGAAGGCAGGUCUCUGGGCUGACACUGACGCUCAUGCACGAAAGCGUGGGGAGCAAACAGG
rnacentral:rRNA from 1 species